rnacentral:snoRNA from 1 species
CUCUCCUGUUUCUGCCCCGAUUCCUUUAUGCUCCAUAGGUUUACGGGUUCUGGUGAUGGAGAAGAUCAAGCUGUGGAGCUGUCCCUAUGAUUUGAUACUUCACUGGGAUGGCGCUGCGGAUCGUGAGAAUGUGUGGCAAUCAUAGUGCUUGUCAACUGAUUUAGCUUUGUUGACAUGGCCUUGUUGCACUCUCUAUAUCU